AAACUUGAGUAUCCAAUGACGUUUAUGUAAGCCUAUAAAUAGGCAUUUCAUGUAUCAUUUGUAAGCAAGCGAGAAGAUUAAAUUCAAUAGAAGAGAAAAUUCGAAGUUACAAAUCCUUGCUUCCACCUUCACUACUAGAGUUCCAGGAGCUCUAUACGAGAAACACCACUAUGUUCGUAUAUCUCCGUAAAUAUUAUUCAACGUUAAAAUUAUUUCAAUUUCUAACAUGGUAUCAGAGCGGGUUCGAUCCAAAUGGGCGCUAAAGUUUCCGCUACAAGUUGAAGGUGAUAAUUCUGCACAAUAGAAGACGCAAGGAGAUGCACCAAAGAGUGCACUUCUAAAGAAAAUUUGAGGGAAGAGCAUCAAAGAAAUGCCUCCUCAAAUAACAGAGAUGGCAAAAAUGAGAGUCAUCCUGUAAAAAUAUUCUACUCAUAAAGUUGAGUGGGCGGAACCUCUGAACCUACGAUGGUCAAGUUUCGUGAAAGGCGAGGAACAUCAACAGAAGGAAAAAGCCUCUGAAUUUAAGACUGUCAAGUUCGGUCUAAACCGUGAAGGAGAAGGAGAUAAUUGGCACAAGACAGAGGCUCUGAAUCUACAAGGAACAUACUGCGAAAAUGCCAGGUCAACAAAGAAGAUCUAAAACAAGAUAUGGAGACACUACGAAGGCGAGCUGGUUUCAAUGUGACUACAAGUCCGAAAUGAAUACACUACGAGCAAGAGAAGCCAAGAGCUAUCAAGAGAUUGGGUGAAGAACAAAUUGGACGCUAAGCCAAUUACAAAUUAAGAGGGGGUGUUGGAACAUGUAAUUUGUAAUAGUCAACAAUGAUCUAGAUAAUUAUAAAGAAGUGUAGAAAAAAAGUACUCUAGAACAUACUAGAGUUAGAGUUUCCAAAAAUCAGUUAAGACUUGGCUAGAAUUUGCUAGGACAAGUAAGGUCAAAUGAAUGUUCUAGAUAAGAAAAACCUAGAGAGAACUAGAGAACAUACGGUUGUACAAGAAAGUGUACUUAGAGAUAUGUUGUAAAGAACAUUCUAGAUAAGAAAAGUCUAGAUUAAACUUGAGUAUCCAA